GGACCUUUAGCUCAGCUGGUUAGAGCAGACGGCUCAUAACCGUCCGGUCGCUGGUUCGAAUCCAGCAAGGUCCA
rnacentral:tRNA from 2 species